AUUGAACGCUGGCGGCAGGCCUAACACAUGCAAGUCGAACGAGUGGCGGACGGGUGAGUAAUGUCUGGGAAACUGCCUGAUGGAGGGGGCUAACUACUGGAAACGGUAGCUAAUACCGCAUACCAUCAGAUGUGCCCCGAUGGGAUUAGCUAGUUGGUGGGGUAAUGGCACACCAAGGCGACGAUCCCUAGCUGGUCUGAGAGGCUGACCAGCCACACUGGAACUGAGACACGGUCCGGACUCCUACGGGAGGCAGCAGUGGGGAAUAUUGCACAAUGGGCGCAAGCCUGAUGCAGCCAUGCCGCGUGUAUGAAGAAGGCCUUCGGGUUGUAAAGUACUUUCAGCGGGGAAGCGUUACCCGCAGAAGAAGCACCGGCUAACUACGUGCCAGCAGCCGCGGUAAUAC
rnacentral:rRNA from 1 species